AUUCUCAAUAACGAACUGACGCCAAGAACUUGUGACUAAGCAAACGCGUACAAGGUCAGAUGGAUCAUCCAAUUGAGAGAAGAUCUUGAAGGACAAAUCUGCGCCAAGCCAUUGUAAGAAAUCCCAGCUACUAUUCAUUUCACCCGUGGCCAAUUACGCCGAAGCCUUUUGGUGAGAAGCAAGAGAUGGCAAUGAAACCCUAAGGGAGGGAGAAUGGGA
rnacentral:misc_RNA from 1 species